rnacentral:pre_miRNA from 1 species
CCUUAUUCAGUGGGUUGGAGGUGUGUGCUCUAUGUCAUCACAACCUGCUUGAAUGAGGAC